rnacentral:rRNA from 1 species
GAAGGCAGCAGGCACGCAAAUUACCCACUCCCGGCACGGGGAGGUAGUGACAAAAAAUAACGAUACGAGACUCAUAUGAGGCCUCGUAAUCGGAAUGAGCACACUUUAAAUCCUUUAACAAGGAGCCAUUGGAGGGCAAGUCUGGUGCCAGCAGCCGCGGUAAUUCCAGCUCCAAUAGCGUAUAUUAAAGUUGUUGCGGUUAAAAAGCUCGUAGUUGGUUCUGCGUGCCACGCUGUCGGUUCGCCGUUUGUCGGUGCAACUGGCAUGCCGUGGCAUGUCCUGUCGGUGGUGACCGAGUUCCCGGUUGCGUAGGGGUUUGUUCCCUCUAUGUGCCGUUAUGGUUCCCGGUUGCCGACUAUAUCCUACUGCGGUGCUCUUCACUGAGUGUCGAAGUAGGCCGACACGUUUACUUUGAACAAAUUAAAGUGCUUAAAGCAGGCUAAAAUUUUUGCCUGAAUAGUGGUGCAUGGAAUAAUAUAACAGGACCUUGGUUCUUUUUUUUGGUUUUAGGAACUCAAGGUAAUGAUCAAUACGGACAGGCGGGGGCAUUCGUAUUGCGACGUUAGAGGUGAAAUUCUUGGAUCGUCGCAAGACGCCCUAGAGCGAAAGCAUUUGCCAAGUAUGUCUUGAUUGAUCAAGAACGAAAGUUAGAGGUUCGAAGGCGAUCAGAUACCGCCCUAGUUCUAACCAUAAACGAUGCCAGCUAGCGAUCCGCCGAUGUUCCUCCGAUGACUCGGCGGGGAGCUUUCCUCGGGAAACCAAAGCUUUUGGGUUCCGGGGGAAGUAUGGUUGCAAAGCUGAAAC